rnacentral:rRNA from 1 species
AAGGAGUGUGUAACAACUCACCUGCCGAAUGGACUAGCCCUGAAAAUGGAUGGCGCUGAAGCGAGUGACUUAUACUCAACCAUCGCGGCAAGUGCGACGCCGCGAUGAGUAGGAGGGCGUGGAGGUCGUGGCGCAUCCCGCGGCGUGAGCCGGGGUGAAACGGCCUCUAGUGCAGAUCUUGGUGGUAGUAGCAAAUAUUCAAAUGAGAACUUUGAAGGCCGAAGUGGAGAAAGGUUCCAUGUGAACAGCAGUUGGACAGGGGUGAGUCGAUCCUAAGACAUAGGUUAGUACCGGUCGGAAGUGGGUGGUUCUCGGAUCGCCCCUCCUAUCGAAAGGGAAUCGGGUUAAUAUUCCCGAACCAGGACGUGGAUACCGAGUGGCGACACAAGCGAAAUCCAGGACAGCGGUGUGUGCUCC